UGAAACCUUGACGACUCCAGGAUCGUGC
rnacentral:sRNA from 1 species